UCGAAACCCUCAAAACGACCCGCGAACCUGUUAUCAACAUGUUGGGGCGUCGGGCCAAACCCCGUGGCCCCAACGCUCCGGUGGCUUCCGGUGGUUCCAAGUUCUUGGCACCAUCGGAUCACCACCAGCAAAACAAACCAACCCCGGCGCGGCACGCGCCAAGGAACUUUGCAACAAAAGAAGGAUCACGCCCCCGACCGUGCCGGAAAUCGGACAACGCGGUCGGGUGGCUGUCCUCCUGUGAUUAACAAAAACGACUCUCGGCAACGGAUAUCUAGGCUCUUGCAUCGAUGAAGAACGUAGCGAAAUGCGAUACUUGGUGUGAAUUGCAGAAUCCCGUGAACCAUCGAGUCUUUGAACGCAAGUUGCGCCCGAAGCCUUCUGGCCAAGGGCACGUCUGCCUGGGUGUCACACAUCGUCGCCCCCAAACCCAGUACCUCUUCGGGGGUACUCGGGACGAGGACGGGCGGAUAAUGGUCUCCCGUGCGCACCCGCUCGCGGUUGGCCCAAAUAGUAGUUCCUGGCGAUCGCAAGCCACGACCAGCGGUGGUUGAAAUACCCUCGACGGGAGUCGUGAGCACCUGCCUCGCAAGUUGGGACAUGCCGACCCUGAACGUGUUUGGUGAUCCGAACACUCACCGAGUGACCCCAGGUCAGGCGGGACUACCCGCUGAGUUUAAGCAUAUC
rnacentral:misc_RNA from 1 species